rnacentral:rRNA from 1 species
GAAGUUACUCUUCAUACCCUUUUGUGAACCUUACCCCUCGCCGCGCGGUUGCCUCGGCGUGGAGGUCGGGAGUGGGGCCGCCCAGCGCGGACCCCGCCUCCGGCCCCCGCCGGCCGCGCCAAACUCUUAAUUUGCAUAGCGGACUGUAUGUUCUGAUUUAUCUUGAAAAAAACAAGUCAAAACUUUCAACAACGGAUCUCUUGGUUCUGGCAUCGAUGAAGAACGCAGCGAAAUGCGAUAAGUAAUGUGAAUUGCAGAAUUCAGUGAAUCAUCGAAUCUUUGAACGCACAUUGCGCCCGGCAGCAAUCUGCCGGGCAUGCCUGUCCGAGCGUCAUUUCUGCCCUCGAGCUCGGUUCUCUCGAACCGACGCCCGGUGUUGGGGCGCUGCGGGCUCAGCCCCGCAGGCCCUGAAAUGAAGUGGCGGUCCCGCCGCGGCGCCCCCUGCGUAGUAAGUCUUUGCACCUCGCAUCGGGUCCCGGCGUAGGCCAGCCGUCGAACCUAUCUCUUGAUGGUUUGACCUCGGAUCAGGUAGGGUUACCCGCUGAACUUAAGCAUAUCAAUAAGCGGAGGAAAAGAAACCAACAGGGAUUGCCCCAGUAACGGCGAGUGAAGCGGCAACAGCUCAAAUUUGAAAUCUGGCCCCCCCGCGGGGUCCGAGUUGUAAUUUGAAGAGGAUGCUUCUGGCGAGGCGCCGUCCGAGUUCCCUGGAACGGGACGCCGCAGAGGGUGAGAGCCCCGUACGGUCGGACGCCGAGCCUAUGUGAAGCUCCUUCGACGAGUCGAGUAGUUUGGGAAUGCUGCUCAAAAUGGGAGGUAAACCCCUUCUAAAGCUAAAUACCGGCCAGAGACCGAUAGCGCACAAGUAGAGUGAUCGAAAGAUGAAAAGCACUUUGAAAAGAGAGUUAAAAAGCACGUGAAAUUGUUGAAAGGGAAGCGCUUGCGACCAGACUCGCGCCCGUCGGAUCAGCCGUCGCUCGUCGGCGGCGCACUCCGGCGGGCUCGGGCCAGCAUCGGUUCGCCUCGGGGGGAGAAAGGCGGCGGGAAUGUGGCUCUACGGAGUGUUAUAGCCCGCCGUGCAAUACCCCCGGGCGACCGAGACCGCG